AUUGAACGCUGGCGGCAGGCCUAACACAUGCAAGUCGAGCGGAGCGGCGGACGGGUGCGUAAUGCCUAGGAAUCUGCAUGUUAGUGGGGGAUAACGUCCGGUAACGGGCGCUAAUACAGCAUCCUAUCAGAUGAGCCUAGGCGGGAUUAGCUAGUUUGGGGGGUAAAGGCAUACCAAGGCGACGAUCCGUAACUGGUCUGAGAGGAUGAACAGUCACACUGGAACUGAGACACGGUCCAGACUCCUACGGGAGGCAGCAGUGGGGAAUAUUGUACAAGGGGCGAAAGCCUGAUCCAGCCAUGCCGCGUGUGUGAAGAAGGUCUUCGGGUUGUAAAGCACUUUAAGUUGGGAGGCGUUACCAACAGAAUAAGCACCGGCUAACUUCGUGCCAGCAGCCGCGGUAAUAG
rnacentral:rRNA from 1 species